rnacentral:lncRNA from 1 species
UUUUUUCUCUCUAAAAAAAUAGAAUUCACAAGAAAUCAAAGUGCACUUGAAAUUUUUUCCCAGUUACACCUACUUGUAAAUCAAAAAAUAUAAUAAGAAUAAAAAAAAACAAGAAUCAUACUUCUGUAGCAAAAAGCCAUAAUUUUCUCAGUUGCUUGUUUAGCCAUUUCACCUGCAAGAUGCAACCAGAGUAUGAAUUAGUAAUGAAUCACAUCCUAACAACGAUGCAGAAGGUGAUUUUUUUUUCUUAAUACAUGAUAUGUUGUCCUUUAGCUUCACAAAAAACCCACCAGUAUUUUCAAAUCAUCUCUGUCGAUACAUAUUUUCUUCAAAUCAUCUCUGUUGAGUGACCCAAGAAGUUUUAUAUCAAUUGUCUACAGACAGAAAUUCGAGUUCGCAUUUAACUUUCCAAAUUCAAUGCACCUCAUAGUAUUUUCAAGCAACUUCUACAGAACAAAUAAUAAAGAGAGAGAAAGGAAAACGACAUGUAUCUCAAUCAAAAUUAACAAACCUUAGCAACUCUUUUGGUGCUUCGGUUCUGCAUCAUGUGUUUCCAUUCAGGCUCCAGCCAUCAACCCGAUUCAAAAGAUGAUCCCCAAAAAUAUCCCUGAAAUCAGCCCCAUUUCCCCCAAUUCCAAGCACAACUAAACCUAAUCCACCAAAAAGAAAAAUAAAACACAACGACAAACAAAUUAGAAAGAAAAUAAAAUCAAAUAGUGGUGCAUUACGUCUAUAAAUUGCUACUGUUAUUGUAUGGAGAGGCUGAGAGAGGAAUUUACAGUGGAGAGUUGUUUGUUUUCUCUCUCUUAAAAGUAACGGUUCCUUUCUUUCUUGAGUGGGAGAUGCAAGCAUUUAAUAUUACUCCAUGAGAAAAAUAAAAACUAAUGGAAGAGCAGAGGGAGGGCCAGGUAUGGCAGAGGAAGGAGAGCGAGAACGCUGCUAUUAAUGAGAGGAAGCCGUGAGGUGUGAGUCAUCGAUCUCAAAGAUUUUCUCAUCAGAGAUAAGGAAUUUAGGAUAAAGCGUGGAUGAGUGACAAUUG